rnacentral:misc_RNA from 1 species
UGUGGGAGCGGGCUUGCUCGCGAUUGGAUCAACUCGACCCGGCAGAUACACCGGGUUGUUUGCAUCGCGAGCAAGCCCGCUCCCACA